UUAUUAACAAAUAUUUGCACUGGAAUGCCCGAAACAGGAACAAAGGAUAGUAACUACGGGGGUGUGAGUGAUUGCUGGACCCAGACUAGGAAGGAGUCUAGUCUGUGAAAGAAGCUCACUGGAACAUCUCUGAG